AGAAUUCAUAACAAUUUUAAAUAUUUUUUGACGCGGUGUUUUAUUUAAUCAUGCAGAGGACACUGAUUCUAUUGUUGCUACAAAUUUUACGACCAUCCUGCAUUUUCGGUGAUGGAUCAUUCGAAUGCGGUGAUCACGGCAGAUUCGAAUACUGCAUCGACGAGAUUCCAGGUUGUGUAAUCGGCUGCCAUUGCCAUCCAGGAUAUUAUUUUGAUACUGAAACGAAAAUAUGCGAACACAACUCAAAAUUAAUUGAACAUCAUAAGCGGGG
rnacentral:lncRNA from 1 species